GAGGGGUGGCAGAGUGGUUGAAUGCGGCGGUCUCGAAAACCGUUUACCCUUCGGGGUACGAGGGUUCGAAUCCCUCCUCCUCC
rnacentral:tRNA from 1 species